GGUGGUGUAGCUUAGUGGUAGCACUCACCUAGCAUGUAAAAGGCCCUGGAUUAGAUCCCCAGCACCCCA
rnacentral:tRNA from 1 species